UGUACAUUUGCUAGCAAAACAUGGUGUAUAGAUAAAAUCUAAUUAGCUUAAAUUGUUAGGUUCAUGACAGGUACCCUUUAAACUGCUGCAAUCUCAAGUGCACUUCAAACCUUUUGUCUUGAGAACAAGAUAACAUCUAGGAUAUCUGUGUAUUGGAUAGUAGGGGGUCCAAGAACUUAAAUAAGCCUAUGAGAUGAAACUCAUUGUGAUUGCCUUUCACUGAUUCCUGAUUCCAUAAAAUGGAUGUGGCAGUAAACAAUCAAGACAUUCUGAGACCACUCUGAGUUAGAAACAAAAUGAAAUUAGAGGAAUACCCAGAACCAGAAAAAACAUUUGAAAUCGUUGAUCUAAGCAC